GAUGAACGCUGGCGGCGUGCCUAAUACAUGCAAGUCGAGCGAACAGACGAGGAGCUUGCUCCUCUGACGUUAGCGGCGGACGGGUGAGUAACACGUGGAUAACCUACCUAUAAGACUGGGAUAACUUCGGGAAACCGGAGCUAAUACCGGAUAAUAUAUUGAACCGCAUGGUUCAAUAGUGAAAGACGGUUUUGCUGUCACUUAUAGAUGGAUCCGCGCCGCAUUAGCUAGUUGGUAAGGUAACGGCUUACCAAGGCAACGAUGCGUAGCCGACCUGAGAGGGUGACCGGCCAAACUGGAACUGAGACACGGUCCAGACUCCUACGGGAGGAAGCAGUAGGGAAUCUUCCGCAAUGGGCGAAAGCCUGACGGAGCAACGCCGCGUGAGUGAUGAAGGUCUUCGGAUCGUAAAACUCUGUUAUUAGGGAAGAACAAAUGUGUAAGUAACUAUGCACGUCUUGACGGUACCUAAUCAGAAAGCCACGGCUAACUACGUG
rnacentral:rRNA from 1 species